rnacentral:lncRNA from 7 species
AAGCAAUUUCUUCUUCCAUCUCAACAAAACACCAUUGCUGAGUGAAUACCAUAGCAUGCAGUUAUACAGGCAUGGUUGUGCCAGGCAUGCUGCAAAAUGGAGCAGCAGAACUGCAUGCUGCAUGGUGAUGGCUGAUUUAUUAACUGGGGUUUGACCUGCCUUUAUUGAGUUAGUAAAAGAAAAAUCACAUCUGCCAGUUUCUGCUGUCCUGCUGUUGUGGAUGAAAGUUAAUGUUUUAAGGGAAUAUACCCGCCUGGUACUGGGAAUGGCUGAGUCACUGUAGGCAAUGGACUUCAGAGGAGGAGACCAAACAGAAAAUCUGAACUGUCCGAUAUCUUCCAACCGCCUCUGCCUCUUUAAGUCACAAGUCCAAAUCAGUGACCAAAAGUUUCACUUUUUGGAUGUUUUCCCUACAGCCAAAGAUGCAUGUCUGUCAAACUGUGCUAUUGUGCUCUUUGUAGCAGUUGUAGUUUCCGUGGAAACCAGUAGGAGGCAUUACUUUCGGAGCAACCCAUGUAGAAAGUAUGCCAUGUGUAUUCCAGUCAGUAUCGGUGAACUGUGAAUGUAUUACCACUGUUUAUGUCUACUAAUAAUGUGUUGUAAUUAGCAAUAAACUGUCUUCUGCAGAGGGUACAGGUGGGAUGUGCCUGACUGUGCUUGAAGAAAACGGUACUUAGUUAUAUUACCCAAUAAAACAAUUUCAAGUUCCGUCCUC